AGCGAACGCUGGCGGCAGGCCUAACACAUGCAAGUCGAACGAACUCUUCGGAGUUAGUGGCGGACGGGUGAGUAACACGUGGGAACGUGCCCUUAGGUUCGGAAUAACUCAGGGAAACUUGUGCUAAUACUGAAUGUGCCCUUCAGGGGAAAGAUUUAUCGCCUUUAGAGCGGCCCGCGUCUGAUUAGCUAGUUGGUGAGGUAAAGGCUCACCAAGGCGACGAUCAGUAGCUGGUCUGAGAGGAUGAUCAGCCACAUUGGGACUGAGACACGGCCCAAACUCCUACGGGAGGCAGCAGUGGGGAAUCUUGCGCAAUGGGCGAAAGCCUGACGCAGCCAUGCCGCGUGAAUGAUGAAGGUCUUAGGAUUGUAAAUUCUUUCACCGGGGACGAUAAUGACGGUACCCGGAGAAGAAGCCCCGGCUAACUUCGUGCCAGCCGCCGCCGUAA
rnacentral:rRNA from 1 species